rnacentral:tRNA from 1 species
GUUCUUAUAGUUGAAUAACAACGGUGGUUUUU